GUCUCCAUAGCUCAAAGGAUAGAGCAGCAGCCUUCUAAGCUGAGAGUUCCGGGUUCAAGUCCUGGUGGAGACG
rnacentral:tRNA from 1 species